rnacentral:lncRNA from 1 species
CUGGGUGCAACCGUCUGAUCCUGAGAAUCUUGCAGGACAACCGUCUGAUCUUGAGAAUCAUAACUAAAUAACCACACCAUAUUUGGUUAGUCUAUCUUCCAAGAACAGUUACACAGUCAUCUCCUCUAUAAAUACUCAAAUCCCAAAGAUCCAGGUAAGUAAUCACUCUCAGAGAUCUAAAACUCUACUUUUCUAUUUGUGCAUUCUAAC